rnacentral:lncRNA from 1 species
GAAUACAUUGUACUCUUAAGCUCAUAAUUUUUUCCAAAUUAAUUAUCAAAAUGUAUGGAUCUUUACAGGUACACAGAGUCAAAAGUUUGUAGAGGUUGGAACGCUGGAUGCUUUGGGGAGGCUGGUUAUUGCUCCUGCUGGGACUAUUGGGUAAACAACAGUACUUCUGUUAGUUUUAGUUAUUGAAUAUAUGUUUUUACAUACGUUAAAUUUAAUGCAGGUUUAUUCCCGGCUUCCAAUCUGCAAAUGCGAUUAUGGAUUCCAUUGUAUCAUGUUAUCGGGACGCUUGGAGUUCCUGGGAAGAGGUACCUGUCUAUGACAGAGAACAAAUGUGGAAUCACUUCAAGGUACACUGUUAUGAACCAGCCUCGGCCCAAUGUCAAUACCUAUUCGGAGGCCACACAACUAGUUAUUGGGCCGAAAAGAAGCAACAAAAUUAGAAGGCCUUCACAAAGGUUGGUUUGGGACCCGGGCCCAAUAAACAACUAGUUAAUUAGAUGAAGGAUGAGAAAGAAGGGUUUUUAGGCAAAACUGUUAUGGAGUAUCUGUAUUCCUCAUCCCCUUUCUUUGACCAGUUCUGACUCUCAUCCCUUUCUUCUAGUUCUACAAUUUCCAUUUUAGUACUUAGAUUCCUUUGUAAUUUCAUUACGAGUUAGUGAAAUAUAUCUAUCGGUUGUUUUAGUUUGAAUUGCAUUGGUCUAGUUAUUGAGUUUGUUACAUUGGUGCUCUCGUUGAGAGGUUUCUCUAAUGGAGGACCACAAAGUACUCAAGAUUUUCGUUGAUGAUUCAAUUCGUGAUUCAAUCAAAGAAAUGAAGGAUUCUAUCUCUAAAGAUCUCGCUGAAUUUCGUUCUGUGCUGCUGGAGGCUUUGGGGAAAAAUGUUACAACCUCUUUUCAACCCCCAAACACAGUUAUGGAUGCUAAAUUAUGGCAGUUUCGAGGUGAGAAUCUGGAGGCUUGGAUAGUCCAAGUGGAGCAUUAUUUUGAUUUCUACAAUAUUGAGGAAGAUCAAAAGCUUACCGUGGCAUCAUUCUACCUUGAUGGUGAAGCAUUAGACUGGUACCGAUGGUUAUUUAGGAACAAUCAGUUAAUUGAUUGGCCACAUUUUGCUGCUAAGGUGAGAAUUCGAUUUAAACCAAAAGAACUUGAGUCUGUGAGAGGGAGCAACAUAACGAACUCACUUUUGCCACAACAUUAUGCUAAGCAAUCAGAAUUCGAAAGUAAUGCAGGUCAGGUGUUUGAUCAAUUUUCUGAUAGGUCUAAAGGGGCAAUACUGGAACCACACAAGGUGCGUACGAUGACCAAAUAUACUAUUGAAACACAUUUCCCUACUGAUCCUGAACAUCCUAUUUUCCCGUGUGAUGUGGCCAAUGACUAUGCUGUUAUUGUUGAAAAUAAAGACAAAAACGAGGUAGAGACUUCACUUAUCAUUCCUAUAGAAGAUAAUGUGAUUGUCGAGUUUUACCCAUGCCUAUUCGCCCAGCUCUGUUUGCCCUUGAUGCCUCAUGAUUUUAGGGAUCUAGCAUUGUGUGUGAGCGUGAAAAAUGGCUUAACCCCUUGCGAUUGGUUUGACACUGGGCAACAUACUUCUCGGCCUAAACACAGCUUGGGAAUGGGUUGCUCACAAUUUGCUACUCAAAAUGCCGGUGAGCCACAUCCAAGGGUUCUUGGUAUCAAGAUAUUGGAGUGGCUAGUGGGGAACCAGUUGAGGGCUGCACGAAGGCAGAACAAAUGGAUGAUGUUGAGUUCUACUUCUUAUUUUGUGUGCAAUAAUUUCACAAAGGCUCUAUACAUCCUUUCGCCAAACACCAAUUUUGGCUGGAGCAUGACUCUUCAACCUUAUUCUUAUUUCUCACCAGGUUUCAUUGUUUCUCUCACCUUUACAAAUCGUCCUUUUGACCCUGGUAUACAUGAUAUUACUCUAUCCUGUGGUGCCAAUGGGAAUAUGUUUCCAAAUAGUAGUUUUGUUUCUACUUAUUUUUGCAUAGUUACAUUGUGGAAUGAAUAAAUUUAUGGUAUUGGGCGGAAACAUGUAGGCACUGAUGCAUCGGAACAUUUUUAUAGUUCCUUGGAGUUUCUCUUAGCACUCAAUCAUGUCAGUCUAGUGCAACAUAUAUGGCAAAGGCAGUGGAAUGCACUAAUUGAACACAUUGGUCCAGAUUGUGCUUAUGUUUUUAAGCUUCAGGAAGCUAUGCAAUGGAAAAGGUCUUGCGCAUAACCCUUCAGUGAAUUUGGUGUCACUAAUUACACAGGAGACAAGGCACAUGUCAGUGACUUGGUUACUUCUUGGGUCAUGUAUUCUCCUUCUGAGUAUGCACGUCUCCGCAAGGGUGCUAAAGCUUACACUACAGUUGUGUUUGGAAAGAGCCUGCUUGCACUCGAACAAUUUGUUUCUCUUCGCUACAACUUCCGGGUGCACGCUACUAACAUUAUUCUCGACUCGAACCUUGAGGACAAGGUUCCUAUUGAGGAUGAGAGUAUUGUUAUGAACCAGCCUCGGCCCAAUGUCAAUACCUAUUCGGAGGCCACACAACUAGUUAUUGGGCCGAAAAGAAGCAACAAAAUUAGAAGGCCUUCACAAAGGUUGGUUUGGGACCCGGGCCCAAUAAACAACUAGUUAAUUAGAUGAAGGAUGAGAAAGAAGGGUUUUUAGGCAAAACUGUUAUGGAGUAUCUGUAUUCCUCAUCCCCUUUCUUUGACCAGUUCUGACUCUCAUCCCUUUCUUCUAGUUCUACAAUUUCCAUUUUAGUACUUAGAUUCCUUUGUAAUUUCAUUACGAGUUAGUGAAAUAUAUCUAUCGGUUGUUUUAGUUUGAAUUGCAUUGGUCUAGUUAUUGAGUUUGUUACAUACACAUAGAUUAAUUCUUUAUAUUAUUUAUCAAAUUACUUAUUUCAUCUAAUGUUAUAAAUUAUUUGCAGACU